UUGGAGGGCAAGUCUGGUGCCAGCAGCCGUGGUAACUCCAGCUCCAAUAGCGUAUAUUAAAGUUGUUGCAGUUAAAAAGCUCGUAGUUGAAUUUCGGGGUUAGUAGGCUGGUCAUGCCACAGGUAUGCACUGGUCUUACUGACUCCUCCUUCCUGAUGAACCGUAAUGCCAUUAACUUGGUGUUGCGGGGAGUCUGGACUGUUACUUUGAAAAAAUUAGAGUGUUUAAAGCAGGCUAACGCUUGAAUACAUUAGCAUGGAAUAACGAAAUAGGACGUUCGAUCUUAUUUUGUUGGUUUCUAGGAUUGACGUAAUGAUUAAUAGGGAUAGUUGGGGGCAUUAGUAUUCAAUUGUCAGAGGUGAAAUUCUUGGAUUUAUUGAAGACUAACUACUGCGAAAGCAUUUGCCAAGGAUGUUUUCAUUAAUCAAGAACGAAAGUUAGGGGAUCGAAGACGAUCAGAUACCGUCGUAGUCUUAACCAUAAACUAUGCCGACUAGGGAUCGGAUGAUGUUAAUUUUUUAAUGACUCAUUCGGCGCCUUACGGGAAAC
rnacentral:rRNA from 1 species